rnacentral:lncRNA from 1 species
CGAGUGCUCGCGGUGCUGUUCGUUACCCCUACCAGUUACUCCAGCUAGUCGCGUACGUACUACCGCCCGCCGCCGCUCGUUCACGCAGUGACCUUGCCGUGAGACGUGUGUAUCAGUGCGAUAUCACUCCCGUCGUAUACCGGCGAAUUGUGAAUUGAACGGCGUGUCGUUAAUUGGCCUAAAUGUAAUCGUGUGAUCAAUCUCGAUUUUAAUAUGGGAUAAACAAUUUGAAUCGAGUUCGACGUGCGUGGAUCGUGUACAUCGGUGACCUGUUGCCGGGCUGUUCCGGGCAGGCUGGACUCGAUGCGCUGCGAGCGAUCAGUGAUAUCCAAUGAGAGCUCAGUUUUCUUCGAAUUAAUCGUCAUAUUGAAAAUAGCGAAACGCUCGUCGUGCAUCGAGUCUAGCUGUGCCCGGGAUCAACAUAAUUCGGAGUCGCGAGAGUCCUCUCUUUUCUCUCUUUCUCAUCGCAGUCGUUCCACUGUACGUUGCGUAUGUCUCGCGAUUCUUUUACCUUUCUCGAGUUUGUUUUCCCGUCGUCGCGUGUCGCGAUAAAGGAUGUGUGACGACGACGCGUCGAAGCGAUCGAAUUAACCUCGAAAUAUUGUGUCAAGUGUCGCGCGAUCGUCAUUAAUUAUGUUUUCGCGAGUGAAUUUUGUGCAAGUGUGGAAUUCUAACCUGUAAGGAGGAGGCGGGCUGAGAGGCAUCGGGCAACGACGGAGCAACUUUGAGUUCGUGAUACACACAACUCUGCUGCUAUGCAUCAGUGUUGGUCUGUAUUUUCGUACGGUUGUUACAUGACUAACUAAGCAGACGGGAAAGUUCAUCAACGUCCAGUCAGAUCCAUUGUCUUCUGUAACGAACAGACCGUUACUGUUUCUUUAUUACAAAACAGGAUGGUGCAACACGUGAUGGCGAGCACCGGUUAGAAACUCCAGACGUAGGGAGCGCGCACAGGGACCAUGGCACAGGAUACAAGGAUACAGAUCCGAUUAGAUCCCGCUAAAAUUAUAAGUAUCUCUCUUCAUUACUGGAUUUUGCAGCCGCUGCAGUUCGUCGUAAAGGUAUAAAUGGGAGUAAAGGAAGAAGCGUGCUUGGUGGAAGUCACUGUCAACGACUUCAAAUGAUGAUAAUGGAAAUCAAUUUACCCUCUGUGCGUGUCUCGCACGUUCACGCAUGAACGAUUCCCAUCGUACGCUUGUUAAAUUUACUAGCCAAUGCUUGUAAUUACACUUGGUAAUUUUUUUCUUAUGACCGUACGACAAGAUGUAAAAGAUUAAUUAAAUACAAGUAACAUGAACCUUAGCCAGAUAUGUAAUUGAUUAAUGUAAAAUUUCAAAAAUUUUAUUUAUUACUGAUAUAUAAUGAUUUCUAUAUAGGGGAUAGAAAAUAAUUUUUAAUAUUUAAUAUUUCCGAAUAUACAUAACAUGAUUUUUUUAAAUUGAUCUAUACUUUUCCAUAUUACUGAAAUUUUUGUAAUUUAAAGUGAUAAAUUUGUGCUAUUUAUUUUAUAUAAUUAUUCUCGUAAUAAAAAUAGUUUCCAGUUUACUAUUUAUUUAUGCUUCAUGCGGAAUAUAUAAUUCUCGCGGUUGCUAGUGUCAUUUACAUAUUUCGAGUUUCAUCGAUUUCUCCUAUUCGAUUUUCACCACAUAACACGCUAUGCAUCAGUGAUGUACAUACCGCACUGUUGACGUACGCUCGGCGCGGCGCGUCGCGUUGGCUAUGACACGCACGACCUGCGCUUUUCAGAACGUGGCUUUUUUCCAACGCUCUCACGCCGUCAGCGUGAUCACUGGUGGACAAAGAAGACGACCGGAAGUUUCGCGCGGAACGGGAUGCGGACGUUUUUACAGAAAGCUCGCGGAAAAAUUGGUCUCUGUACGCAAUAAUGCGCACACGCGCGCGGUAACACGGGUCGGCCACAAUGCGCCGGUAAUUGAUCGUGAAGGGGCUAGCUAACGUAUCUUCCAGGAACGGAUUUGUGUCGGCGAAAUGCCGCCACUUUUAUUCCGUUUAAUGAACAAUCGAAGUCGCUUUCAGAAUGCACGCAUGAUUUACGAUUUCCGCGAAAGUGAGCUCGACGCGUGGGACGUGCAUGCGUCGCUAUUAUCGUUGCUUCCUGCUGUGAUCUAAUAAUUGAAAGAACAAGUGAUUAAAGGAAAUAUAUAGCAUAUUCUUGCCAAAGUUGAGUGAUUUACUCCGAAUAAUCAUAAUUUGUUUAACCAGUUUAACUGUCUUAAAUUAAAUAAAGAUGAAUACUAAAUAUAGCAUGUCAAUGUAGGCAUAACGAAUUUGUAAAUAACGUUUAGAUUCUAAAUUGGAUUUACAGUACAUACGGAGACACUAGAUAGUAAAUUUAAAUACGAAUGUAAUAAAUACCUCUACCGGAAACAAAUUACUGAAAUGACACCCAACAAAGCGGAAAGAGGUAUCCAUUUUUCACGGCUCUGAGUCAUUGCCAGGUGAGGUGAGUUCUCACCCAAGGGAAGAAAAAGAGAUGGCCCCCGACUAAUUUCACAAACUUCCGAUUACACCCCGUCGUAAUUACGCGCCAUCAUUUCCUUUAUUCGCUUUCCGAGAAAGCGCUGCGCUUUCGUUCAGGAAGAUAUCCUCGCGGUGAGCGCACCGGGAUACCUUUGUUCGAUGCGGAAACGUGUCGUCACUGGUAAUUACAUGGAUGCCAGUCAGCCAUGAUACCGAUAGACGACCUAUUUUUUUUCCUUUUUAACCCGUUCCAUGAUCAUGCUUGCGGGAAAGAAAUUCCAAUGUGCCCGCAUGUCUAUCGAAGAUAAAUAUCCUGUCAAGCAAGAAAUUCUAGGAACUGGCGCUAUACAAAAUCGCGCGUAUGAGCUUGAUAUGUAUAAAUGAAUUUGGCCUACAUAUAGCUCGGACUUCGAUAAAAAUGCUCAUAGAAAUUGUGAAAGAAUUUGUAGGAUAAUGGACAGUUACUGUUAGUUUUCAUUUUUCUGGAUUUAUUUAUAUACAUAUAAAUGAAAUUUCGUAUGCUUUAAUCAAUUUUUUCUGACUCGACACAGAGUUGUAUCUGAAAAUUUUUGCGAGAAAGGUUUCUCACAGCAAUAAAUAUCGGUUCCUCGAAAAUUUCCUCACUAUAUUACGCACUUAAUGCUUGACAUUUUCACAAUGCAAGCAGUUCGUAAAGAUGCAUCGACCAGGUAACUACAAUGCAUAUAUGUGCACACGUGUUCGCUAAUGGCCGUGUAUUGACGAUGCACCACCAGCUCAAAGCAAACCUGAUGGGUACGAAUAACGAGCCAUUGUGUCGUUCCGAAAAUGCAUUCCCCUCUUGUAUUCAUGUCUUUCUCUGCAGUCAAUAUAACAAAUAACAUCCGUUAUUUAUAUUUACUUAUAAUGAAGUUAAUUUUGCUGACUCAAGUAAACCAUCCUUGCUUUCUUUUUCAUGUGCUGCGCUAAACAGUUCAAUUAUUUAACUUAAUUUAACAAUUUGAUUCUGUUUCACAUAUUGUAAAUUGCACAAUCAAAAUCACGAGAACUUACGUUCUAUAUCUAACUCUCAUUCACUGGAUUUCUUUUCUCAUUUGUACUAAUUUCUACUUUAUUAAUUUUAUGCAACAAACUCUUGAAACAAACUUGAAGAUCUCUUGCUCGAUAGUUUUCUUCCAAAAUUUUCUAUAAAUGGCCGUCGUUUGUUCACGCAUUAGCACACGACCGAAAGGACGUAUUAUAGUUUUGCUUAUUGGUUAAUGUGUAUUCCAAAAUGUGUCUUUUUUAUAUAUUAUUUAAAUAUCAGAGCUAGAAUAGCGCGCAUUUUAUUUUGUGUGCGCCUCACAAAGAAGGGCUAUUGCGCCUAUUUCCAAACAACUAACUUUAUAUAUGUUCUUCAUUCGCGAUAGAUUAAGUCGGUUAAGUCGUGCAUGAAAAUCAUCAUAACUCGGCCAGGUGGAAAAUCACGAAAUAAAUUUGCAAAGUCGAUCGCCUUCGCAACAUUAUCAUGUGAUAAAAUUAGCGAUGAAGAUAUUAGGAUAUUAACCUAAAUGUAAAACAAUGAUAAAGAAGGAGGGUCAUCUAUACAAGUUCGAUAAUAGAAUUUGAUCAAAUCACAAUUUAUUAUUGUAGAGAAGAUUCAUUAUACUCUAACUUACUCGUACCUUACAAUAAUUUUUAUCUAAGCAUGCGAGUUUCGGUCGGAUGUGCUACAUCGUAAUUAUUUUUUCUCUUUUAAUUACAGUGGGAAUUUUUAAUUAAUAACAGUAAAACAAAUCCUAUCCUAUCUA